rnacentral:lncRNA from 1 species
AUACAUACCUUUUUCCAUAUUUUAGAUUAUUUUUCUGAGACAUAUUUGUCUAUGGCCACAUUGAGGCUUUCCUGUUGAGCCAUGUCAAACAUUUGAAUUUUAUCCUAAAAAUAUUCGGAAGCACAAAGGGAUUUCAAGCAAGGGAAUAGUAGAUUGAGAUUUAUGUUUCAGAAAUAAGACUGUCAUGGUAGUUAGAAGAUUGUAGAGAAAAAAAGAGAAGAGACAGAGAGAUUUAUUGGAAUUAAAAAAAAAAAAAAAAAGCAGUUCAGGGAAUUGAUAACAAAGGCCUGGCCAAAGACGGUGGGAAUAAGAAAAUGGAUCGCAAAGUAUUUGUGACCCAACUAGACAGGACCUGGUGACUGGCUGGAUGUGGGGUUAAGGAGAGGGUGGCAUUGAGAAGGAUCCUGAGCUUUCCAUCUCAAGACAACGGAGGUGAAGAGUAAAGGAGGAGUAGGUUGGGGAGGAAAGAAUCCUAUUUAGGACCUCUUGAGUUGGAAAUGCUUGUAAGACAUCCUGGUGGAGACACCUAAGAAGUAACUGAACAUGUGUUUGGUACUUUGGAGAAAAGCGAAAGCUUGAAAAGAAAAUGUACACUUAGGUUAAUUGUUAAAGUAGUUAUUAAGUGAUUUCAGUGGGUAAGACACCUGUUACAAACUGUGAGAGACUCAAAUAAACAGAAAUGCAUUCUUCACCGGAUCCCGGAAGCUUAUAAUCAUCCUGCGUCACUAAAGCAAUUACCUUGUUAGGCUGUCAUUUCUCCAUUCACAUGUCUGCUUCUCCAAGCACACCGAGAUCCUCUCUGGGCCUAGGGCCCAGCUCUGUCCUUAUUCUCUUUUUAUCCUUUGUGAUAUGAUAUUCUCUUUCUUUCACAUGCAAUAAAGGGCACAGUGCAAGGUCAUUAGCCAUUAAUGCUUAUGGAAAGAUGAGUGAGUGAAAGGAAGAGCUUAUGAGGGGGCAACAAAGGGCUAAGAAGUUUAGGUUGUGAAAGAGACCCCAUCUUAUACCAUACACAAAAAUAAAUUCCAGACAAAGUCAAGACUCAGAUGUAAAAACAAACAAAAAAGCUUUGUGGGAGUGCCCACUGUGAUGCAGAUUAAGGAUCCAGCAUUGUCUCUCCAGUGGUUUGGAUUGAUGCUGAGGCGUGGGUUUGAUCUCCUGCCCAGCACAGUGGGUUAAGCAUCCAGUGUUGCCUAGCUGUGGCAUAGGUCACAGCUGUGGCUGGAAUUUAGUCUCUGGCCCGGGAACUUCCUUAUGCCACGGCUCAGUGGGUUAGGAACUCGACAAGUAUCCAUGAGGAUGCAGGUUUGAUCCCUGGCCUUGCUCAGUGGAUUAAGGAUCUGGUAUUGCCCUCAGCUGUGGAGUAGGUCACGGAUAUGGUUCAGAUCUGGUGUGGCUGUGGCUGUGGUGUAGGCCAGCAGCUGUAGCUCUGAUUCGAUCCCCUAGCCUGGGAACUUCCAUAUGCCAUAGGUGCAGC